rfam:Stegodyphus mimosarum contig28677, whole genome shotgun sequence.
GCCUUCGUGGUGUAGUGAUUAGCAUGAUCGUCACGUAUUCGAGAGGUCCGUGGUUCGAGUCCCGGCGAGGGCA